rnacentral:rRNA from 1 species
CCUACGGGAGGCAGCAGUGAGGAAUAUUGGUCAAUGGACGCAAGUCUGAACCAGCCAUGCCGCGUGCAGGAAGACGGCUCUAUGAGUUGUAAACUGCUUUUGUACGAGGGUAAACGCAGAUACGCGUAUCUGUCUGAAAGUAUCGUACGAAUAAGGAUCGGCUAACUCCGUGCCAGCAGCCGCGGUAAUACGGAGGAUUCAAGCGUUAUCCGGAUUUAUUGGGUUUAAAGGGUGCGUAGGCGGUCGGAUAAUUUAGAGGUGAAAUCCCGCGGCUCAAAUUCGGAAUUGCCUCUGAUACUGGUCGGCUAGAGAGUAGUUGCGGUAGGGGGAAUGUAUGGGGUAGCGGUGGAAUGCUUAGAGAUCAUACAGAACACCGAUUGCGAAGGCAGCUUACCAAGCUACCUCUGACGUUGAGGCACGAAAGCGUGGGGAGCAAACAGGAUUAGAUACCCUGGUAGUC